rnacentral:rRNA from 1 species
ACGUCUACAUUAGAUACCCCGGUAGUCCCAGCCGUAAACUAUGCGCGUUAGGUGUAUCGGUGACCACGAGUCACCGAGGUGCCGAAGGGAAACCGUGAAACGUGCCGCCUGGGAAGUACGGUCGCAAGGCUGAAACUUAAAGGAAUUGGCGGGGAGCACCACAACGGGUGGAGCCUGCGGUUUAAUUGGACUCAACGCCGGGAAGCUCACCGGAUAAGACAGCGGAAUGAUUGCCGGGCUGAAGACUCUGCAUGACUAGCUG